AAUUCGCCCUUAGAGUUUGAUCCUGGCUCAGAACGAACGCUGGCGGCAGGCCUAACACAUGCAAGUCGAACGGCAGCAGGCCUCUCCUCGGAGAGGUGCUGGCGAGUGGCGAACGGGUGAGUAACGCGUGGGAACCUGCCCGGUAGUGGGGAAUAACCACGGGAAACCGUGGCUAAUACCGCAUACGCCCUUCGGGGGAAAGGUCCUUGUGGCCGCUAUCGGAGGGGCCCGCGUCGAAUUAGCUAGUUGGUGAGGUAACGGCUCACCAAGGCGACGAUCCGUAGCUGGUCUGAGAGGAUGAUCAGCCACACUGGGACUGAGACACGGCCCAGACUCCUACGGGAGGCAGCAGUGGGGAAUAUUGGACAAUGGGCGAAAGCCUGAUCCAGCCAUGCCGCGUGGGUCAGAAGGCCUUAG
rnacentral:rRNA from 1 species